rnacentral:tRNA from 2 species
GUCCCCAUCGUCUAGCGGCCUAGGACGUCGGCCUCUCACGCCGAAAACAGGGGUUCAAACCCCCUUGGGGACGCCA